rnacentral:rRNA from 1 species
UGCUGGAGGUAUCAGAAGUGCGAAUGCUGACAUAAGUAACGAUAAAGCGGGUGAAAAGCCCGCUCGCCGGAAGACCAAGGGUUCCUGUCCAACGUUAAUCGGGGCAGGGUGAGUCGACCCCUAAGGCGAGGCCGAAAGGCGUAGUCGAUGGGAAACAGGUUAAUAUUCCUGUACUUGGUGUUACUGCGAAGGGGGGACGGAGAAGGCUAUGUUGGCCGGGCGACGGUUGUCCCGGUUUAAGCGUGUAGGCUGGUUUUCCAGGCAAAUCCGGAAAAUCAAGGCUGAGGCGUGAUGACGAGGCACUACGGUGCUGAAGCAACAAAUGCCCUGCUUCCAGGAAAAGCCUCUAAGCAUCAGGUAACAUCAAAUCGUACCCCAAACCGACACAGGUGGUCAGGUAGAGAAUACCAAGGCGCUUGAGAGAACUCGGGUGAAGGAACUAGGCAAAAUGGUGCCGUAACUUCGGGAGAAGGCACGCUGAUACGUAGGUGAAGUCCCUCGCGGAUGGAGCUGAAAUCAGUCGAAGAUACCAGCUGGCUGCAACUGUUUAUUAAAAACACAGCACUGUGCAAACACGAAAGUGGACGUAUACGGUGUGACGCCUGCCCGGUGCCGGAAGGUUAAUUGAUGGGGUUAGCGGUAACGCGAAGCUCUUGAUCGAAGCCCCGGUAAACGGCGGCCGUAACUAUAACGGUCCUAAGGUAGCGAAAUUCCUUGUCGGGUAAGUUCCGACCUGCACGAAUGGCGUAAUGAUGGCCAGGCUGUCUCCACCCGAGACUCAGUGAAAUUGAACUCGCUGUGAAGAUGCAGUGUACCCGCGGCAAGACGGAAAGACCCCGUGAACCUUUACUAUAGCUUGACACUGAACAUUGAGCCUUGAUGUGUAGGAUAGGUGGGAGGCUUUGAAGUGUGGACGCCAGUCUGCAUGGAGCCGGCCUUGAAAUACCACCCUUUAAUGUUUGAUGUUCUAACGUUGGCCCCUGAUCGGGGUUGCGGACAGUGUCUGGUGGGUAGUUUGACUGGGGCGGUCUCCUCCUAAAGAGUAACGGAGGAGCACGAAGGUUGGCUAAUCCUGGUCGGACAUCAGGAGGUUAGUGCAAUGGCAUAAGCCAGCUUGACUGCGAGCGUGACGGCGCGAGCAGGUGCGAAAGCAGGUCAUAGUGAUCCGGUGGUUCUGAAUGGAAGGGCCAUCGCUCAACGGAUAAAAGGUACUCCGGGGAUAACAGGCUGAUACCGCCCAAGAGUUCAUAUCGACGGCGGUGUUUGGCACCUCGAUGUCGGCUCAUCACAUCCUGGGGCUGAAGUAGGUCCCAAGGGUAUGGCUGUUCGCCAUUUAAAGUGGUACGCGAGCUGGGUUUAGAACGUCGUGAGACAGUUCGGUCCCUAUCUGCCGUGGGCGCUGGAGAACUGAGGGGGGCUGCUCCUAGUACGAGAGGACCGGAGUGGACGCAUCACUGGUGUUCGGGUUGUCAUGCCAAUGGCACUGCCCGGUAGCUAAAUGCGGAAGAGAUAAGUGCUGAAAGCAUCUAAGCACGAAACUUGCCCCGAGAUGAGUUCUCCCUGACUCCUUGAGAGUCCUGAAGGAACGUUGAAGACGACGACGUUGAUAGGCCGGGUGUGUAAGCGCAGCGAUGCGUUGAGCUAACCGGUACUAAUGAACCGUGAGGCUUAACCUUACAACGCCGAAGGUGUUU